UACGUGGGACCCAAGCGUUAUCCGGAAUUACUGGGCGUAAAGAGUUGCGUAGGUGGCAGAGUAAGCAAGAUAUGAAAGCGUGUGGCUCAACCAUACAUGGCAUAUUUUGAACUGCUCAGCUAGAGUAUGGGAGAGGUAGAUGGAAUUUCUAGUGUAGGAGUGAAAUCCGUAGAUAUUAGAAGGAACACCGAUGGCGUAGGCAGUCUACUGGCCCAUUACUGACACUAAGGCACGAAAGCGUGGGGAGCGAACGGG
rnacentral:rRNA from 1 species